rnacentral:rRNA from 1 species
UACGUAGGGGGCAAGCGUUGUCCGGAAUCAUUGGGCGUAAAGAGCGUGUAGGCGGCCCGGUAAGUCCGCUGUGAAAGUCGAGGGCUCAACCCUCGAAUGCCGGCGGAUACUGUCGGGCUAGAGUCCGGAAGAGGCGAGUGGAAUUCCAGGUGUAGCGGUGAAAUGCGUAGAUAUCUGGAGGAACACCGGUGGCGAAGGCGGAUCUCUGGUACGGAACUGACGCUGAGGCACGAAGGCCAGGGGAGCAAACGGG